rnacentral:rRNA from 1 species
AACGAACGCUGGCGGCGUGGAUUAGGCAUGCAAGUCGAGCGGGAUCUAUCGAAGCUUGCUUUGAUAGUGAGAGCGGCGAACGGGUGAGGAAUACUUGGGUAAUUUGCCCUAAAGUCUGGAAUAGCUUCGGGAAACUGGAGGUAAUGCCGGAUGUGAUCGAUCAUCAUAAGAUGAUUUGUUUAAAGGGAGGGAUCUUCGGACCUCUCGCUUUAGGAUAGGCCCGAGUCCUAUCAGCUUGUUGGUGAGGUAACGGCUCACCAAGGCUAAGACGGGUAGCUGGUCUGAGAGGAUGGUCAGCCACACUGGGACUGAGACACUGCCCAGACUCCUACGGGAGCUGCAGUCGAGAAUCAUUCACAAUGCACGAAAGUGUGAUGAUGCGACGCCGCGUGAAGGAUGAAGGCCCUAGGGUCGUAAACUUCUGUCAGAAGGAAAGAACGGUCUAUGAGUUAAUAGCU